ACGGACCUUUUCUGCGGACCCGAAUCCACUUUCGGUCUAUCCGUCCGGACUCACGAGUCCGUAAACACGACGUUAAAAGCAGUAUGGUAUACACAAUAAGUAAUUUUCCAUUUAUCGGCCGGACGAGAUAACGAUAAAUGAUGCGACGAGUGAUUCCCAGUUGAACCAAAUCACUCGUGACCUAGCUAAUACUAAUCCGUGUCAACAUUUUAUACUUGCACGUUUUUGUAACUCGUUUUCGUCUCGUGCGAACAGAAUACUACAAAAUCGAAAAUACAUCCACCUCGACCUCGUUUCGGAAUAAAUUACAACGCCAGGGAUUGAUGAGGUUCGAUGGUUUCGACGGACCUAUCUAUGAUAAAUUUUUAAAUCACUCCGAUAAUCCCUGCAGAUAUUAUCAAUAAGUACACAGAAAAAGUGAAUCGCUGCACAUUGCGUUGAAUACAAAUUGCUUAACUUGAGUUUUACAAGUUUUACAGAUUGCCAAAAUGUAUAUUAUCGGCAUAAUAAACAAUGUACAGUUAUACUACUUAGAUAAUAACAAUUGUUAAUCUAGUUGUUGAUUAACUAAGGCUUUUAGCAGGUGCAGUUUAAAGUAUGUUAAAUGUUUAUCUGCGUCUCAUUUUAUGCUGACGGUACACAUAAGUUAUUGGUAUAGUAGGUCAUAAGUUAUAGUAAGCUUAUAAAUAGAGGUGUUUGACUUGUCGUCAUGCAAUUGGGAAAUAAUUCCAUUAUUUACAUAUUUUAAGUAAAUAUGUACUUACAUCAUGCGACCAAUAUAAUUAAAUUGUAAAUUAAAAACCGUUC